AAAGAGCCCAUCAAUUUUGUGCAAUGGGCUGGAGUUACGGAAGAACUCACUCCAGGCAGAGAUUAUGGCUCCGUGCCGACGGCCUAUCCAGCGUGCGUUGUGCUCCAUGAUUAGAUCCAAUUGCUGUCUUCUCUGAAUGAAUCCGGAGCCACAGCUCAUCUCAGGGAACCAGAGGGGAGGGCGCCUUUCAGCUGAGCAAGGGGAAAAAGCUCUAUUUGCAGCCACCGAACUCCCUUGAACACUCUCCACAUCUGAAGCAUACCCAUCAUGGUGGCUGUCUUGCUGUUGACAUCAAAUAGAGAGGAGCAUGCAAAGGCUUGAAACUGCAGCAAAGCCUUCCCCAAGCAAAGUACAGGCAUGAGGAGAAAUACAUGCCGAGUCCUCCCAAUUAAGUGGACAAGCAGAGGAAGUGGUUCUGGCCGAUGAGCGGCAGAAAUCUAUUUUCCUCCUUAUAAACACAUUUUUCCCCUAUUUUUCUUUUCUUUUUUCUUUAAAACUGAUAACGAAGGAGAGUAGUGGAAAUAUAAACCUCCCCUACUGCGAUCCACACAUCUCCAGGAAAACGAGAAGUCUUGCAAAAGUCGUCCUCAUCCAGCAUUCUGGGGGGCAAUGCAUCUUUCUGAUUUUGCCAAUUUAUCUAGAAAAUAUUACAAUUUAAUCUAUGUUAAUAAAAGACCAACACGGUAACAA